ACGAACGCUGGCGGCGUGCCUAAUACAUGCAAGUAGAACGCUGAAGAGAGGAGCUUGCUCUUCUUGGAUGAGUUGCGAACGGGUGAGUAACGCGUAGGUAACCUGCCUUGUAGCGGGGGAUAACUAUUGGAAACGAUAGCUAAUACCGCAUAACAAUGGAUGACACAUGUCAUUUAUUUGAAAGGGGCAAUUGCUCCACUACAAGAUGGACCUGCGUUGUAUUAGCUAGUAGGUGAGGUAACGGCUCACCUAGGCGACGAUACAUAGCCGACCUGAGAGGGUGGUCGGCCACACUGGGACUGAGACACGGCCCAGACUCCUACGGGAGGCAGCAGUAGGGAAUCUUCGGCAAUGGGGGCAACCCUGACCGAGCAACGCCGCGUGAGUGAAGAAGGUUUUCGGAUCGUAAAGCUCUGUUGUAAGUCAAGAACGAGUGUGAGAGUGGAAAGUUCACACUGUGACGGUAGCUUACCAGAAAGGGACGGCUAACUACGUG
rnacentral:rRNA from 1 species